AUUGAACGCUGGCGGCAGGCUUAACACAUGCAAGCCGAGCGGGGGUGAUGGUGCUUGCACUAUCACUUAGCGGCGGACGGGUGAGUAAUGCUUAGGAAUCUGCCUAUUAGUGGGGGACAACAUCUCGAAAGGGAUGCUAAUACCGCAUACGUCCUACGGGAGAAAGCAGGGGAUCACUUGUGACCUUGCGCUAAUAGAUGAGCCUAAGUCGGAUUAGCUAGUUGGUGGGGUAAAGGCCUACCAAGGCGACGAUCUGUAGCGGGUCUGAGAGGAUGAUCCGCCGCACUGGGACUGAGACACGGCCCAGACUCCUACGGGAGGCAGCAGUGGGGAAUAUUGGACAAUGGGGGGAACCCUGAUCCAGCCAUGCCGCGUGUGUGAAGAAGGCCUUAUGGUUGUAAAGCACUUUAAGCGAGGAGGAGGCUCUUUUGGUUAAUACCCAAGAUGAGUGGACGUUACUCGCAGAAUAAGCACCGGCUAACUCUGUGCCAGCCGCCGCCGUAA
rnacentral:rRNA from 1 species